rnacentral:rRNA from 1 species
AACGAACGCUGGCGGCAUGCCUAACACAUGCAAGUCGAACGAGACCUUCGGGUCUAGUGGCGCACGGGUGCGUAACGCGUGGGAACCUGCCCUUAGGUUCGGAAUAACUCCCCGAAAGGGGUGCUAAUACCGGAUAAUGUCUUCGGACCAAAGAUUUAUCGCCUUUGGAUGGGCCCGCGUUGGAUUAGCUAGUUGGUAGGGUAAAAGCCUACCAAGGCGACGAUCCAUAGCUGGUCUGAGAGGAUGAUCAGCCACACUGGGACUGAGACACGGCCCAGACCCCUACGGGAGGCAGCAGGGGGGAAUAGUGGACAGGGGGCGAAAGCCUGAUCCAGCAAUGCCGGGUGAGUGAUGAAGGCCUUAGGGUUGUAAAGCUUUUUUACCCGGGAUGAUAAUGACAGUACCGGGAGAAUGAGCCCCGGCUAACUGCGU